rnacentral:rRNA from 1 species
AUUGAACGCUGGCGGCAGGCCUAACACAUGCAAGUCGAACGGUAACAGGAAACAGCUUGCUGUUUCGCUGACGAGUGGCGGACGGGUGAGUAAUGUCUGGGAAACUGCCUGAUGGAGGGGGAUAACUACUGGAAACAGUAGCUAAUACCGCAUAACGUCGCAAGACCAAAGAGGGGGACCCUCGGGCCUCUUGCCAUCGGAUGUGCCCAGAUGGGAUUAGCUUGUUGGUGGGGUAACGGCUCACCAAGGCGACGAUCCCUAGCUGGUCUGAGAGGAUGACGAGCCACACGGGAACUGAGACACGGUCCAGACUCCUACGGGAGGCAGCCGUGGGGAAUAUUGCACAAUGGGCGAAAGCCUGAUGGAGCAAUGCCGCGUGAAUGAAGAAGGUCUUCGGAUUGUAAAAUACUUUGAGCAGGGAGGAAGAGAGGAACAUGAAUAAGUUUACACAUGGACGUUACACAAAGAGAAAGCAACGGCUAACUCCGUG